GACGUAGGGCGCGAGCGUUGUCCGGAUUUAUUGGGCGUAAAGAGCGUGUAGGCGGCCAUACAGGUCAGCUGUGAAAACUCGAGGCUCAACCUCGAGACGUCGGUUGAAACCGUAUGGCUAGAGUCCGGAAGAGGAGAGUGGAAUUCCCGGUGUAGCGGUGAAAUGCGCAGAUAUCAGGAGGAACACCAGCGGCGAAGGCGGCGCUCUGGGCUGGAACUGACGCUGAGGAGCGAAAGCGUGGGGAGCGAACAGG
rnacentral:rRNA from 1 species